rnacentral:rRNA from 1 species
UUUUAUGGAGAGUUUGAUCCUGGCUCAGGAUGAACGCUGGCGGCGUGCCUAAUACAUGCAAGUCGAGCGAACGGACGAGAAGCUUGCUUCUCUGAUGUUAGCGGCGGACGGGUGAGUAACACGUGGAUAACCUACCUAUAAGACUGGGAUAACUUCUGGAAACCGGAGCUAAUACCGGAUAAUAUUUUGAACCGCAUGGUUCAAAAGUGAAAGACGGUCUUGCUGUCACUUAUAGAUGGAUCCGCGCUGCAUUAGCUAGUUGGUAAGGUAACGGCUUACCAAGGCAACGAUGCAUAGCCGACCUGAGAGGGUGAUCGGCCACACUGGAACUGAGACACGGUCCAGACUCCUACGGGAGGCAGCAGUAGGGAAUCUUC